UAAUGUCUUUUUUCGAAAUAUAAGUGUAUUGACAGGUCUAGCCUCUACUUUGUGAUAUAUUUUCCCCAAAAUGCUUACAAGACCCUAUAAGAUUAAUUUGACAUUCGAGGACGAAUGUUCUAAAGGGGGGGAGGAUGUUAUACCCCGUACAUUUAUAUGACGAAUUAUCCGCAAGAAAAUCGACUCAAGUUAAAGGCGGAAUUAUUUUCGGAUACGAAAUAGAAAUCGUUAAUUUUCAAUUUUAAUUAAAACAUAAAUUGUGUAUGAAUUUUAUUGGUAUAAAGAUAUUAUUGGAGAUUAGGGGUAAAUUAACUAUGAUUAGAUUAUUAAGUGGGAUUAAAAUUUAAAUCACUUCAUUAAUUAAUUAAGCUUAAGGGGCCAUGUGGGCCCCACCCGAAAAAAAAAAAAAAAAAAAAAAGGAAUCAAAAUCUGGAAAUUAACAAAACAAGGUGCAAAAGUGAGUCAUCAAAAGGGGGAAUACGUGUAGCAAUAUGGGAUAUAUAUAUAUUUAAUGGGAUGUAGUGCAAAUGACCAUUUUCAAGUCAUUUGUUGGUACACAAAGCUCAAGAGCAAGAAAAACAAAUGCCCAUGGCUGCUCACGGCUAGAUUGGGGCUUAAAAAAAAAAAAAAAAAAAAAAAAUCAGUUUUGUUGCUUAGUAAAAAUUCUAAGGAGAAGACAAGGAGAUAGAGGUGGAGAAGCAAGAACAAGUAUAAAGAUUUAAGACACAAAUUGGAGCCAAGUAUCCAAGGCGAAAAGAGCAACGAGGCAAAAGGGAUUCACGGAUAAUCGUCGACAGGUACCGACGACAGGUUUGCUGAUCCGUCCGUCUAGGAUAUUUUUCUGCCAUUUGGAGCGCUCUUUUAUUCAGAGCCCAUCUUUUGGUACAGUCUGUCACUACUGUAUUUAUAUAUUCUCGUUCAUGGGUACGGCGGGGCCCUGUCCCGUCAUAUGAUUCUGUCGGUCUGUUUAGAGGUCUGUAGACAUGUUUGUGGGUUGGGGUCUUUCUGUACGGAUGCGUGUAUAUGUUGUGUUUGGGCGAUCCCAUUCACCGCGGCGGCCGGUCCGCAUAUGUUUAAAUGUUGCUUUGUUGGCCCUGGGUGGUCAUUGUUGGUAUUAUCUGUGCGCAGGGUUAAUUUGGAUAGUCUGUAAAACAAAGGAAACUCUGCCGAAAUUUUUCUGGAAAUUAUCUAAAUUUGAAAUAUAGCCUUGUCGGCUUCUGCUAUAUACUUGAAUGCGUUUGAUAAAAAUUUGAGAUAGCAUUUGAUAGAUGUGUUUGG